AACGAACGCUGGCGGCAGGCUUAACACAUGCAAGUCGAACGCAUCGCAAGAUGAGUGGCAGACGGGUGAGUAACGCGUGGGAACAUACCCUUUUCUACGGAAUAGCUCUGGGAAACUGGAAUUAAUACCGUAUACGCCCUACGGGGGAAAGAUUUAUCGGGGAAGGAUUGGCCCGCGUUGGAUUAGCUAGUUGGUGGGGUAAAGGCCUACCAAGGCGACGAUCCAUAGCUGUCUGAGAGGAUGAUCAGCCACAUUGGGACUGAGACACGGCCCAAACUCCUACGGGAGGCAGCAGUGGGGAAUAUUGGACAAUGGGCGCAAGCCUGAUCCAGCCAUGCCGCGUGAGUGAUGAAGGCCUUAGGGUUGUAAGGCUCUUUCACCGAUGAAGAUAAUGACGGUAGUCGGAGAAGAAGCCCCGGCUAACUUCGUGCCAGCAGCCGCGGUAAAAC
rnacentral:rRNA from 1 species